AACAAAAACCUCCCUGUGGAGUGGCCCAGCUGCCCACAUGUGGUGCUUGUCUGGGGAGCAGCUCAGCAGGGUCUCAGAAUCUGUGUAAGAGGAAGAUGCUGGAGAACCAGGGAACAAUUCACAUCUGAGGACUCUGGACUUUGAGAGCCCAGCCACACCUCAGGCACCACUCCUUUAUGCCCUGCCAGUUGCCACCACCUUGACUGUCAUAAGCAGCAGGAGAAUGAGGGGUCCAAGUGCCCUGUGAGUAAACAAGCAAGAUGGAAGGGGGAGGAGAAUGAAAGCUCACCCUAACUCUCCCUACCUUGUGUCCAUUUGUUAAUUAAAUGUAAUUAGCAGAGCAGCCAGGCCAUUGACACAGAUUGUGACUAUCCAUGUUGGAUACAUCUUUGGGUUUAGCAGUUUUUGGCAUAUUGUUCAGAGGACAUUUGAUAAUAUUUAAUGUUGGUAUUUUGCCAGUUUUCUAACUUCCUGCUUCCCCUUUUCUCCCACUCCCAAAAUAGAGUAGAGACAGCAUUCUAUACCAGUUAUCCUAAGCGGAAGCUGGCUGAGGACAGUCAGUAAAAAUCUUGAUUUUGGAGUAUCAAAUAGAUUUUUGUAAAUUCAUAGAAGAUACAAGAUCCUAAUGCUAAAACUGUUUAGUUAGCCUUAGUUACCUCUUAAUGAUAGAAAAAAGGAGUACCUGAAAUUCCAGAAGUUGUUUUCAAAAAUAAAAAGCAUAUACUGGAAAAUGUAGAGUAUAUAAUUUUUCCCAUAGAAAACUGGAAAAGUACAGAAUGAUGUGAACGUUUUUAUUUCCAAAUGUUAAGAAUUUAAGAUUGGGCAGACAUUAGGGAUGAAAGCAUGAAGGAAACCCAGGAGAGGUCAGCUUCAAUUAAACUACCCUUGGCCUUUGGUAGGUAGGGAUGUGGAUGGUGGUGGAGUUGGCAGUUCAUGAUGUGGACCCAGGAGGCCUGAUGUGUUUCUUGUGAAGAAUCACAGAGUUGAAGGCACCACUACCUGGCUUCCUGGGUGGAGCCUGCAUCACUGCGAAUUUUCUGGGAAAAUAAUGCUUUGGGAAGGGUUUUAGAUCUGUAAUCACCAAAGGCUUAGUGAAAUCCCUGUGCAAGGAGACCUGAGGUCAUGUCACUCAUAUCUUGUCAACCCCACACAGCCAAACAGAGCAUCUGAAACUCAUUCUGUCCCUAGAGACUGCUGGUUGGGUCUGGAGAUGUCACAAGCACUGACAUGCUGAGCAGAAGGCCCAGCAGGGUCUACACCAGCAGGGGGCGCAGUGGGGAUGGAGACCAGUGUCCAUGAUUCAGACAUGUAUUCGGGAUACAUGUAUCUGUGUAGCCUUGGGGAUUGGGGGAGCAUGCUGAAUCUGUGGAAGUUUUAUGUCCUUGUAGCCCAGCACCUCCAUCCCUGCCUGCUGACUCAGACCUCAACAUGUGUCCCAUGGAAAGCACGGGCCACUUAUAGAGGCUGCCCUGUGCAACCCCCAAGGCUCAGCUGGAUUCUCCUUUCCCAGGAGAGCUCCUCUGCCUGUACCAAGUCAGAGCUUGUUUCCACAGGCAAACUUGGCGGCUAUGGCAGAAGGACAAAAAGUCAGGCACCAGUUUGGAGCCUGGAGAUGCUGCACGUUCUCCUGUGAGCAGAAAACUCACCAGGACCCUGCACAGCCCGAGGGCCUCAAACGCAGCCUCCCUAGGAGGCUCAGCCUCUCAGUGCAGCACCAGCAACUGCAGCGCCCAGAGAUGGAGUCCACAGCAGAUGGGCUCAGGUGAAGAUGGCUGGAGAGCCUUUGAAGAGGAGGUCAUGAGUCCUCACUUACAGGCAUGGGCUCUACUUCUGUGCGAACAGGGCCAGGGCCCCCAGGAAGCCUCCCAGAGCCUCUUCCUUCCUCCCAACUUAGGGUGUUCAGGCCCCACAGACUCUCCAGGGAGUGGCUGCCAUGUCCUCUCUGGAGCAACCAUGAAGUUCCCUGCUGCCCUCAUGGCUUCAGGGAUGCUCGUUCACGUCACUGGGACGGGAUCCUGGUGGGUCGUGACCUCACCUGCUGCCUCUGAUGACCUUCGGGGCACUUUGUCCUCCCUUUGCCAAAUGACCUCACUCUCACCAACACUCUGAGGAUUGAAAGUUGUCUGCACUGCAUGAUUUUUGCUUUUGAGCAAGUCAAAGCUCACAGGAGUCUCACACAUGCAUAGCCUGUAUUAAUAUUACACACAAUUCCUAUUUUCACUUUUCCUAUCUUCUUCCAAUUUUCUCUGCACACUUACUUACUCUGCCCAUCCACUUUCUCCUGUGAAGCUGCUAAUGUGGGUUUUUAUUUCCAGGCUGAUGUGAUUUCCUUGCUGCAAUACUAGACAUGUGCUCAUCACAUGCCCACAUUUUUAAGAAUAAAGUAUUUUGAGCACAAUUUGCUCUUCUUGUACUUGUAUGUCAGGGUGGCAGCUCAGGGGAUCGGUUUGAAAAUUUAUUUGCUAAAAUGCAUGAAUAUUUCUAGAAAUUCGGUGUUAUAAAUUAAAUGUCUUCUUGCAUCCCA